GAUGAACGCUGGCGGCGUGCCUAAUACAUGCAAGUCGAGCGAACGGACGAGAAGCUUGCUUUUCUGAUGUUAGCGGCGGACGGGUGAGUAACACGUGGAUAACCUACCUAUAAGACUGGGAUAACUUCGGGAAACCGGAGCUAAUACCGGAUAAUAUUUUGAACCGCAUGGUUCAAAAGUGAAAGACGGUCUUGCUGUCACUUAUAGAUGGAUCCGCGCUGCAUUGGCUAGUUGGUAAGUUAACGGCUUACCAAGGCAACGAUGCAUAGCCGACCUGAGAGGGUGAUAGGCCACACUGGAGCUGAGCCACGGUCCAGACUCCUACGGGAGGCAGCAGUAGGGAAUCGUCCGCAAUGGGCGAAAGCCUGACGGAGCAACGCCGAGUGAGUGAUGAAGGUCUUCGGAUCGUAAAACUCUGUUAUUAGGGAAGAACAUAUGUGUAAGUAAAUGUGCACAUCUUGACGGUAACUAAUAAGAAAGCACCGGCUAACUACGUG
rnacentral:rRNA from 1 species